GCAGCAAUUUUAUGUGUACAUGCAUGUAUUAACUCAUUUUAUAAACUGCUCGUUAUUCUAUGCCAGUUUAUUCAUUUUCUUCACUUGAAUUUAUGCUGCGAUUUGCACAUCCUGAAUUCCUUAUUCACAUGAUUGUCAGUCUAUGAAUUUUGAAUGAAAUGUAAAAAAUGUGUACAUGUACAUCCAAAAAAACUGAAGAGCUUUUUACUUACGAGACUACAAAGGUAACUUACGAGUACAUGUCAUAUCCAAUAUAAGAAUGUACCAGUUUAUAAUCAUUUCAACUCUGAAAUUGCUGCAAGUUUGUGGUUGUUUUUCUCCAACUUACUCAUAGAAGUAGAUGUUUAUUUUAUUGAUCCCUGUAUAAUAUGUACCUGUCUAAAGACCAGGUAAUGGAUAUAGAUGUACCAGUGGUUUUAAACAUCCCAUUACGUGUAUGUUUGUCUUUUAAUACUGAUUUCAGUAAUACAAGAUCAACAGCACAUGUAGUCCGUUUUACAUUUAAGAAGGUAUAACACUGCAGAGCAGUUCAAAUGCAUGUUUUUUACAUGACUAUGUACAUGGUGUUUGGAAUCUUAAAAACUGGUAUUAUUAGAGCUAAUUAAGCCUACAAAAAUCCAUACAGUACCUGAAUUUUUUUCUUCAGAUAAUAGAGUCAUGGAAUAAAUAUAUUCUAUAUUUCUGCAUGUUUUUUUUUCAAUGCAAGAUUUCAUAGUUUUAUAUAAAAAUGAGUUUUGUAGUAAAUGUUUUUUUUUACUCCAGGUCAGAAUUUUGAAAAGAGGCAUGUAAUGCAAUGUUUAUGUAUAUAGUGUCAAAUAGAUUUUGUGUAAGUACUAGAUUUAUUUAUAUAUAUCUCCAAGAAAGCGUUCUUUGUUUUUGUUCAGGGGCUGGUACCUAUUGCCAUACAAAAAAAAUUCAAUGUUUAGUCAUGAUUUAUAUGUCCUUCAUUUAUGUAUCACAACCUCAUAAGUACUUGAGUUCAUUGUCAAGAUUUAACAUAUUGUAUACAAAGGGAUUAGAAACAAAAUUAAAUAACUUACAAUUUCCUUCUUAAUUUAAACCAAAAACAUGUAUAUGACUGAGAGACAGUAUUCUUUUCAAAAGUUUUUUUAUUUCCAAAAUGACAGACAUGUGUUUGGAAUUUCAACCCGAGUUGAUUAGUGGAGAGCUACACUUGACUGCUCUGGAAAUAUGUACUGUAUUCAUUGUUUUGUUAUUCAAUUUUGUAGAAGUUUUGCUAUUUUUUUUCCAUCACAAUUUGCUAUAUAAACUGUUUCUUUUUUAAAUGUGAUAACCAUUAUAUGUGUGAAGUUUUUGUUUAGUCUUCAGUGCUUUUAAUGUUUUUGACUAAUUUUAACUUAAAUUCUUUUCGAAUUUUUAAAACAAUUAUUUUUCUGAUUCAUGUCCAAGACAGACAGAAAUAUGCUACUUUGGUUUUAAAGAGAUAUUGUUUUGACGUAUGUAAUUCCAGCAUGCUCAAGGGAACCAAAAGUUCAUUACUCAUACAUAUAAAGUUUAACUUUAAAUUUUGAAAAGCAUGCAUAAUUAAAUUACUUCAUUUAAAAGUUGUUUAAUGAACAGAAAGCUUUACCUUAACCACGAAAAGAUCACUUUUUUUAUUACCUACAUAAUACAUGUACUUGUUGUUAUAAUGCUUAAAAUUCACUAAAUAUAUACAAGUAUGAUCAAACAAUGCAUGUGUGUGAAUGUUUUAGUAUCCUUACAUCUCUUUCAUUUGGUUGUGAUUUAUAUUUUUAACAUCAACUAAUUUACUUUCAUUCAAUAAGCUCUUGCCACUUUUAAGUAAAAAGGAAUGCAUGUAUUCAGAGAACCUACAAUUUUCUGUUUUUAAAUGCUUCUGAUGAUAGUGCAGUGAACAGCUAAAUCCUAUUGUGUCUGGUCUUCCAAACUUGUCUUGCCUAGAAAAUGUGGCAUAUACUUCUAAAUGAGGAUUAAGCUGCAAUGUGAAAUCCAUUACAAUCAAGUUCUGGCAUAAAUUAUCAUAUGCUAGAUUAAUCACAGAACUUCAAUUCUCAAGAAUUUUUCUAAAUCUGUACACAAAUCAUGUUUUAAGUACAGAGGAUUUAUUUUUAGAGUAGAAUCCACUUUAAUGAAGAUAUUGGAGUACUGUCAAUCAUUUUGUUUGUGCUUUCAUGGGGUGGUGGAUCUUAAUAUUAUAAUCAUACAUCACUGUAUUUGAGUGUGAUAUAAAACACACAGAGAUUAGGAACAUUAAUUAAGGAUAGAAAUGUGGUAAGAUUUUUGUUCAGUUAAAACAUACUGUUUUUAUUAACAGAAGAAUUUGUAUUAAUAUUAUUACAUUGUACUUGUAAUUUAACUAAUACUGUGUAAGUGAUACAUGUACUGGUAUGAGUGAAAUUUAUUGUUACUCUUCAUUUUGUUAAGACUUUUUUUAGGGCAAAAACCCCAACAAAUAUUAAUUUCAUUAUGAAUCUAUGUUUACUUUUCUAUGUGCAAGUAUGUGAUAUAAAAUGAUUUGUAAAA
rnacentral:misc_RNA from 1 species